UACAGAGGUGGCAAGCGUUGUUCGGAAUUACUGGGCGUAAAGGGCGCGUAGGCGGUCUUGCAAGUCCUGUGUGAAAUCCCUCGGCUCAACUGAGGAACUGCACAGGAAACUGCUUGGCUUGAGUUCGGGAGAGGGAAGCGGAAUUCCGGGUGUAGCGGUGAAAUGCGUAGAUAUCCGGAGGAACACCAGCGGCGAAGGCGGCGCUCUGGGCCGGUACUGACGCUGAGGAGCGAAAGCGUGGGGAGCAAACAGG
rnacentral:rRNA from 1 species